rnacentral:rRNA from 1 species
UACGGAGGGUGCAAGCGUUAUCCGGAUUUACUGGGUUUAAAGGGUGCGCAGGCGGAUAUGUAAGUCAGUGGUGAAAUCUCUAGGCUUAACCUGGAAAUUGCCGUUGAUACUAUAUAUCUUGAAUGCUGUGGAGGUAAGCGGAAUAUGUCAUGUAGCGGUGAAAUGCUUAGAUAUGACAUAGAACACCUAAUUGCGAAGGCAGCUUACUACGCAAGAUAUGACGCUCAUGCACGAAAGCGUGGGGAUCAAACAGGA